GCCGGAUAGGUACCCGCCUACCAACAUGUACGCGCAUGAGAGCUCGUGCCCAACACGGAUUUUCGUGCAUGGAGCUGGUUCCAAAUGCUCUAUGCAGCGCCAUAUUUGAACAUGGCGUAUGCUAACAUGCCGAAGCUAAUCUGCACGCUCUUGACCCCCUGUGUAAGUCCGAGCUUGCCAUACCA